rnacentral:lncRNA from 1 species
ACCGAUGCUGGAAGGGUUUCUUUGGCCCUGAGUGAAGAGAGACCCAGAGGGAACACUGAGGUGCCUGCCCAACCACUCUGUCCCGGUUUCCUUCAGCAGGACCAGGUGGAUCUGUUUCUAGAGCUCCAACCACCAGCUCCCUCCCCUUCUCCACCCCGGGCCACCAGGUCCUUCCUUGUCUCCUUCCCCUCAGCAGUUUCUAUGAACCACCCUGGCAGUAAUGGUGCAGAUGGCUCGCGCACAGCUGGUGGUGACCCGACUUUCCUGCCUCCACCCUGGGGCUCCUCAGAGGCUUCAUGGAACCCAAACUGCUGGUCUCACCUCCGAGCCCUGCCGUCGCCCAGGGAGGGCGGCUCCGUCCCUCCUGCACUCCCUAAUCCCGCUCUGAAUCACCGCUUCUGUUCUGGGUCGGAGAAUAAAGGUGGGGUUUCC